rnacentral:rRNA from 1 species
CCUACGUGAGGCAGCAGUGGGGAAUAUUGCGCAAUGGGCGAAAGCCUGACGCAGCGACGCCGCGUGAGGGAUGAAGGUCUUCGGAUCGUAAACCUCUGUCAGCAGGGAAGAACGGUCACUGUGCUAAUCAGCAGUGAAUUGACGGUACCUGCAAAGGCAGCACCGGCUAACUCCGUGCCAGCAGCCGCGGUAAUACGGAGGGUGCGAGCGUUAAUAGGAAUUACUGGGCGUAAAGCGCUCGUAGGCGGUAUGUCAAGUCAAGGGUGAAAUCCCCGCGCUCAACGUGGGAACUGCCUUUGAAACUGGCAAACUGGAGUGUGUGAGAGGAUAGUGGAAGUCCAGGUGUAGGAGUGAAAUCCGUAGAUAUCUGGAGGAACAUCAGUGGCGAAGGCGACUAUCUGGCACAUAACUGACGCUGAGGAGCGAAAGCGUGGGUAGCAAACAGGAUUAGAUACCCGAGUAGUC